UGCGCAGGCGGAAGAUUAAGUCAGUGGUGAAAUCUCACAGCUCAAUUGUGAAACUGCCAUUGAUACUGAUUUUCUUGAAUGCGGUUGAGGUAGGCGGAAUACGUUAUGUAGCGGUGAAAUGCUUAGAUAUAACGUAGAACACCAAUUGCGAAGGCAGCUUACUAAGCCGUUAUUGACGCUGAGGCACGAAAGCGUGGGGAGCGAACAGGAUUAGAUACCCUGGUAGUCC
rnacentral:rRNA from 1 species